CCUUAUGUGGCUAAGAGGGUAAAGCAUCUGCCUGCAAUGCUGUAGACCUGGGUUCGAUUCCCCGGGUCAGGA
rnacentral:tRNA from 1 species